AGCAGUCGCCGCGGUAAUACGAGGGGGGCAAGCGUUGUUCGGAUUUAUUGGGCGUAAAGGGCGCGUAGGCGGCCAUUCAAGUUAGAUGUGUAAGCCCUGGGCUCAACCUAGGAAUUGCAUUUGAUACUGUUUGGCUUGAGUUCGGGAGAGGUGAGUGGAAUUCCCAGUGUAGAGGUGAAAUUCGUAGAUAUUGGGAAGAACACCAGUGGCGAAGGCGGCUCACUGGACCGACACUGACGCUGAGGCGCGAAAGCGUGGGGAGCAAACAGGAUUAGAUACCCCCGUAGUCCCUGUCUCUUAUAC
rnacentral:rRNA from 1 species